rnacentral:antisense_RNA from 1 species
GCUUGGCCUUUGGACUACACCGUCUGUCGCUCUAACGAGCCGGCGUCGCCGCCAGGGGACGCUCGGGCCGCAGGAAGGUCGCUGGGUCGUGAGCUGGCGCCGGGGACGCCGAGCGACUGCGGGGUUUCCCUCAGCGUCCUGCUAUCCGGCUGCCCGCCGCGCUCCUUGGUAGUGUCCGUGGGAGCGCAGGCCUUGAAGAACCUCCUCGUGGCGGGCCCCCGAGCGCAGGAGAGGUGUCAAAGAGCUGGCGCGUCUCCAGAGCCCCGGGAGGAAGGCUGUAACGGCAGCCCCAUCGUAGACAGGGACAUUCGCAUCCCGAGCCCUGGAUCUCUGAAAACCAGCCCAGAAUUUGGAAGCUGGAAGGAACUUUAGAUCGUCCAUUCUGAGUGUCUCUCUUCGCUGGCGUUUUCCCACUGAGGUUAUGUAAACAUGAAGAGGAGCCUACAAGUGUCAAGGAAAAAACGACAGCUAACCACAGGGCAGGCCAUGGGCAAGAUAUCUCAGUGUUCUCCGCUCUCAUAGGUCAGGUCAUGACCCCCAGGAGACCUGGAGGACUGAAUGCUGCUGUCCCCAAGGAGGAGGCUGCCGUCUUAUCCCAGGAGGGAGAGCAGGUGAAGUCCCCAGGGGAGGAAGCACCUAGCCCCAUUCCUGCUGAGCAGGAGGUGGCAGGUACCCCAGACUGGGAGGUAAGGACAGCCCAGGGCUUCAACUGAACGUCUCCGGCAUGGGUCCGACUGAGCAGCCAUGGAGCACUGCAGAGUGGGAGGCAGCAGGGCAGGGAGGCAGUGCUGGAGGCUGGCUCAACCCCAAGACCAGCAGGCCAAGCUGCCAUCCCAGGGGAGCGAGGACGUCUGUGCAGAGCUGAGAGGCAGCAGCCAUAUGUGAACAGACUGGGCCUCAUCCUGGCCCCACCGACUUUGUGUGGACAGAGCCUGUUUCCCUGUCUGUGCAACACAGAACCUGCCUGAUCUCACUGCUGGAUCCCUCUUCUUCCUGCCAGGAAAAUAAAAAGGUUCAAAAAGAAGUUGCUGCGUAUCCAUCUGAGGCCUCUGAGGACAGCAAAGAGCAAAGGCCCUGGGACCGGGUCUCCGUGCCCAUGACAGAGCUCUGGCUGGACUGGUUCUGAGCCUCUAACACCCCCAAGACUCAGAACCGUGAAGAAAAUCUUUCCAAUAAAUCCAAGAGUUGCUGCUGCUAUAGGCCAGGCUGCCACCUUUCGGGGCCUCCGUCUUCAGACAAACCCAGCCUGGCUUCAUCCACACUCCCUGUCCCCACAGCUGCAGGAACAGCACUUCCUGCCACCGAGCCAUGUGACCACAGUGGAUUGUCUCUGGAGGGGCCCAAGGGGGCCCUGGCCACCCUUCUGACUGACUCGGUGCCAGAGGACAGACCAACGUCCCUCUCGUGCUGACAGCCGGGCCGCACCCUGGCAUGAGGGCAUUUACAGAAAUGCUGGCGGAACUGCUGCCAGGGAGGCUGUAGGGUCCUCUGGCAAAAGAGGCCUCAGGUGGCUCCUCA